UGAGGCAGAAGAAUCACUUGAACCCAGGAGGCAGAGGUUGCAGUGAGCUGAGAUCAUGCCACUGCACUCCAGCCUGGGCGACAGAGUGAGACUCUGUCUCAAAAAAACCCCAUAUUUUUUAAUUGUUUAAAAUUAUUAUUAAUAUUUAUUUUAUUUAUUUAUUUAUUUAUUUUGAUGGAGUCUCGCACUGUCACCCGGGCUGGAGUGCAAUGGCGUAAUCUCGGCUCACUGCAACCUCUGCCUCAUGGGUUCAAGUGACUCUCCUGCCUCAGCCUCCCAAGUAGCUGGGAUUACAGGUGCCCGCCACCACGCCCGGC
rnacentral:sRNA from 1 species